rnacentral:rRNA from 1 species
AUUCGAUGAUACGGCGAGGAACCUUACCCGGGCUUGAACUGCACCCGACGGACAGAGAGAUUUGUCUUCCGCAAGGCGGGUGUGGAGGUGCUGCAUGGUUGUCGUCAGCUCGUGCCGUGAGGUGUCGGCUUAAGUGCCAUAACGAGCGCAACCCUUCUCUUCAGUUGCCAUCAGGUUAAGCUGGGCACUUCUGGAGACACUGCCAUCGUAAGAUGCGAGGAAGGUGGGGAUGACGUCAAAUCAGCACGGCCCUUACGUCCGGGGCUACACACGUGUUACAAUGGGAGGUACAGAAGGCCGCGACCCGGCGACGGGAAGCCAAUCCCCAAAUCCUCUCUCAGUUCGGACUGGAGUCUGCAACCCGACUCCACGAAGCUGGAUUCGCUAGUAAUCGCGCAUCAGCCAUGGCGCGGUGAAUACGUUCCCGGGCCUUGUACACACCGCCCGUCAAGCCAUGAAAGCCUGGGGCGCCUGAAGUCCGUGACCGAGAGGGUCGGCCUAGGGUGAAACAGGUGAUUGGGGCU